rnacentral:misc_RNA from 1 species
GAUGAAGAACGCAGCGAAAUGCGAUACGUAAUGUGAAUUGCAAAUUCAGUGAAUCAUCGAGUCUUUGAACGCACAUUGCGCCCCCUGGUAUUCCGGGGGGCAUGCCUGUCCGAGCGUCAUUGCUGCCCUCAAGCACGGCUUGUGUGUUGGGCCCCGUCCCCCGAUCCCGGGGGACGGGCCCGAAAGGCAGCGGCGGCACCGCGUCCGGUCCUCGAGCGUAUGGGGCUUUGUCACCCGCUCUGUAGGCCCGGCCGGCGCUUGCCGAUCAACCCAAAUUUUUAUCCAGGUUGACCUCGGAUCAGGUAGGGAUACCCGCUGAACUUAAGCAUAUCAAUAAGCGGAGGA